UUUUUCAGAAAAUGACAGUGGAUAGUCCUACCUGACUUUUUUCCAAUAAGCUGUUAAAAAUGCUAUUGAAGAAUUGCAGGUGGUGGUCCUUCUGAUGCCAAAG
rnacentral:pre_miRNA from 1 species